ACGAGAACGAGAACGAGAACGAGAGGCCAAUUCCACCUUAGUAUUGUUAGCAUUAUGGGAGCAGAGAAAAGAUGGCUUUUCACACUCUUCUCUGCAGCAUUCAUCUCUCUCUUGUUUCUCUUAUUCUACUCAAUUUCAGCUUUCAGCUCCCCAAAACCCUUCCCUUCUGUUGUCCACUAUGGCACCCACUACCCUCCCGCUUUUGCGUACUAUAUAUCUGGUGUCCGAGGUGAUGGUAAUCGGAUCUUGCGGCUAUUGCUGGCGGUCUAUCACCCAAGGAACCAUUACUUGUUGCAUUUGGGUGCUGAUGCGUCUGAUGAUGAGAGAGUGAGACUUGUUGGGGCAAUAAAUGCAGUGCCUGCAAUCAGGUCUUUUGCAAAUGUCGACGUUGUAGGGAAGCCUAAUCGGCUUACAUAUAUGGGUUCCUCUAAUGUGGCAGCUACAUUGCGUGCUGCUGCCAUUUUGUUGAGGCUGCACUCAGGGUGGGACUGGUUUGUGGCAUUGAGUUCAUCGGAUUAUCCCUUGUUGACUCAGGAUGGUAUGUUGGUUUGUUGAUUUCUAAUUUCGCUUUGAUUGUUUUGAAUUUUUCUGAUUUGCAUGUGGUUAUCAGAUUGAAUUUGUGUGAUUCGAGGGGAAGUUUAUUUUUUUGGAGUACUUGAUAACUUUUUAUGUUGGAGUUUGUUUGAUUAUUUAUAGAAAAUUGCAUCCAAGUAGGC
rnacentral:misc_RNA from 1 species